AUAUCUCUCUGUACGGGAAGGAUGAGAAGCUUCGACCAAGGUUCGAUUCGAGCGCAGCGAGAAAGCGUUGCCGCAGGCAACGACCCGAAGGGCGAAGCGCGCAGCGCUGAGUCAUCCUUCCCCCA
rnacentral:sRNA from 1 species